UUAAGCGACUAAGCGUACACGGUGGAUGCCCUGGCAGUCAGAGGCGAUGAAGGACGUGCUAAUCUGCGAUAAGCGUCGGUAAGGUGAUAUGAACCGUUAUAACCGGCGAUUUCCGAAUGGGGAAACCCAGUGUGAUUCGUCACACUAUCAUUACGUGAAUACAUAGCGUAAUGAAGCGAACCGGGGGAACUGAAACAUCUAAGUACCCCGAGGAAAAGAAAUCAACCGAGAUUCCCCCAGUAGCGGCGAGCGAACGGGGAGCAGCCCAGAGUCUGAAUCAGCUUGUGUGUUAGUGGAACGGUCUGGAAAGUCCGACGGUACAGGGUGAUAGUCCCGUACACCAAAAUGCACAGGUUGUGAACUCGAAGAGUAGGGCGGGACACGUGGUAUCCUGUCUGAAUAUGGGGGGACCAUCCUCCAAGGCUAAAUACUCCUGACUGACCGAUAGUGAACCAGUACCGUGAGGGAAAGGCGAAAAGAACCCCGGCGAGGGGAGUGAAAAAGAACCUGAAACCGUGUACGUACAAGCAGUGGGAGCCUACUUGUUAGGUGACUGCGUACCUUUUGUAUAAUGGGUCAGCGACUUAUAUUCUGUAGCAAGGUUAACCGUAUAGGGGAGCCGAAGGGAAACCGAGUCUUAACUGGGCGUUAAGUUGCAGGGUAUAGACCCGAAACCCGGUGAUCUAGCCAUGGGCAGGUUGAAGGUUGGGUAACACUAACUGGAGGACCGAACCGACUAAUGUUGAAAAAUUAGCGGAUGACUUGUGGCUGGGGGUGAAAGGCCAAUCAAACCGGGAGAUAGCUGGUUCUCCCCGAAAGCUAUUUAGGUAGCGCCUCGUGAAUUCAUCUUCGGGGGUAGAGCACUGUUUCGGCUAGGGGGUCAUCCCGACUUACCAACCCCGAUGCAAACUGCGAAUACCGAAGAAUGUUAUCACGGGAGACACACGGCGGGUGCUAACGUCCGUCGUGAAGAGGGAAACAACCCAGACCGCCAGCUAAGGUCCCAAAGUCAUGGUUAAGUGGGAAACGAUGUGGGAAGGCACAGACAGCCAGGAUGUUGGCUUAGAAGCAGCCAUCAUUUAAAGAAAGCGUAAUAGCUCACUGGUCGAGUCGGCCUGCGCGGAAGAUGUAACGGGGCUAAACCAUGCACCGAAGCUGCGGCAGCGACACUAAGUGUUGUUGGGUAGGGGAGCGUUCUGUAAGCCGUUGAAGGUGUGCUGUGAGGCAUGCUGGAGGUAUCAGAAGUGCGAAUGCUGACAUAAGUAACGAUAAUGCGGGUGAAAAACCCGCACGCCGGAAGACCAAGGGUUCCUGUCCAACGUUAAUCGGGGCAGGGUGAGUCGACCCCUAAGGCGAGGCCGAAAGGCGUAGUCGAUGGGAAACAGGUUAAUAUUCCUGUACUUGGUGUUACUGCGAAGGGGGGACGGAGAAGGCUAUGUUAGCCGGGCGACGGUUGUCCCGGUUUAAGCAUGUAGGCGGAGGUUCCAGGUAAAUCCGGUACCUUUUUAACGCUGAGGUGUGAUGACGAGGCACUACGGUGCUGAAGUAACAAAUGCCCUGCUUCCAGGAAAAGCCUCUAAGCAUCAGGUAACACGAAAUCGUACCCCAAACCGACACAGGUGGUCAGGUAGAGAAUACCAAGGCGCUUGAGAGAACUCGGGUGAAGGAACUAGGCAAAAUGGUGCCGUAACUUCGGGAGAAGGCACGCUGAUAUGUAGGUGAAGCGGUUUACCCGUGGAGCUGAAAUCAGUCGAAGAUACCAGCUGGCUGCAACUGUUUAUUAAAAACACAGCACUGUGCAAACACGAAAGUGGACGUAUACGGUGUGACGCCUGCCCGGUGCCGGAAGGUUAAUUGAUGGGGUUAUCCGUAAGGAGAAGCUCUUGAUCGAAGCCCCGGUAAACGGCGGCCGUAACUAUAACGGUCCUAAGGUAGCGAAAUUCCUUGUCGGGUAAGUUCCGACCUGCACGAAUGGCGUAAUGAUGGCCAGGCUGUCUCCACCCGAGACUCAGUGAAAUUGAACUCGCUGUGAAGAUGCAGUGUACCCGCGGCAAGACGGAAAGACCCCGUGAACCUUUACUAUAGCUUGACACUGAACACUGGUCCUUGAUGUGUAGGAUAGGUGGGAGGCUUUGAAGUGUGGACGCCAGUCUGCAUGGAGCCAUCCUUGAAAUACCACCCUUUAAUGGCUGGUGUUCUAACGUGGACCCGUUACCCGGGUUGCGGACAGUGUCUGGUGGGUAGUUUGACUGGGGCGGUCUCCUCCUAAAGAGUAACGGAGGAGCACGAAGGUUAGCUAAUCCUGGUCGGACAUCAGGAGGUUAGUGCAAAGGCAUAAGCUAGCUUGACUGCGAGAGUGACGGCUCGAGCAGGUGCGAAAGCAGGUCUUAGUGAUCCGGUGGUUCUGAAUGGAAGGGCCAUCGCUCAACGGAUAAAAGGUACUCCGGGGAUAACAGGCUGAUACCGCCCAAGAGUUCAUAUCGACGGCGGUGUUUGGCACCUCGAUGUCGGCUCAUCACAUCCUGGGGCUGAAGUAGGUCCCAAGGGUAUGGCUGUUCGCCAUUUAAAGUGGUACGCGAGCUGGGUUUAGAACGUCGUGAGACAGUUCGGUCCCUAUCUGCCGUGGGCGCUGGAGAAUUGAGGGGGGCUGCUCCUAGUACGAGAGGACCGGAGUGGACGCAUCACUGGUGUUCGGGUUGUCAUGCCAAUGGCAUUGCCCGGUAGCUAAAUGCGGAAGAGAUAAGUGCUGAAAGCAUCUAAGCACGAAACUUGCCCCGAGAUGAUUUCUCCCUGAGACUUUAAGUCUCCUGAAGGAACGUUGAAGACGACGACGUUGAUAGGUCGGGUGUGUAAGCGUAGCGAUACGUUGAGCUAACCGAUACUAAUGAACCGUGAGGCUUAACCUU
rnacentral:rRNA from 1 species